rnacentral:rRNA from 1 species
UGGGGAAUAUUGGACAAUGGGCGAAAGCCUGAUCCAGCCAUGCCGCGUGUGUGAAGAAGGUCUUCGGAUCGUAAAGCACUUUAAGUUGGGAGGAAGGGCAUUAACCUAAUACGUUAGUGUUUUGACGUUACCGACAGAAUAAGCACCGGCUAACUCUGUGCCAGCAGCCGCGGUAAUACAGAGGGUGCAAGCGUUAAUCGGAAUUACUGGGCGUAAAGCGCGCGUAGGUGGUUUGUUAAGUUGGAUGUGAAAUCCCCGGGCUCAACCUGGGAACUGCAUUCAAAACUGACUGACUAGAGUAUGGUAGAGGGUGGUGGAAUUUCCUGUGUAGCGGUGAAAUGCGUAGAUAUAGGAAGGAACACCAGUGGCGAAGGCGACCACCUGGACUAAUACUGACACUGAGGUGCGAAAGCGUGGGGAGCAAACA